rnacentral:rRNA from 1 species
AAAUUGAAGAGUUUGAUCAUGGCUCAGAUUGAACGCUGGCGGCAGGCCUAACACAUGCAAGUCGAGCGGUAACACAGGGAGCUUGCUCCCGGGUGACGAGCGGCGGACGGGUGAGUAAUGUCUGGGAAACUGCCUGAUGGAGGGGGAUAACUACUGGAAACGGUAGCUAAUACCGCAU